CCAGCCUACCAGAGAGAGUAUAUAAAAAAUGGCGCUUCCCGAUAGACGAUCAACCAAGACCAAGAGAGCGAAGGGAACUAAACCGAAGUCAAAGGGACUACUGCUGCAAAAUUCUCUCCUUAAUCUCGCUCUCACCCCAUUUCCUUGUCUGACAACUUCCACUUCACUACUCUCUCUCUAAUGGCUGAAUUGCUCCCACCGGAAUUCCCACUUGACGCCCCCACAACCACAGCAACGACAACCACCACCAACGCCGCCACGCCAGCAGUACUACCGGCAUCCGUCGACACCACCAAUAACAAUAACUUCGGGCCGAGUUUAGCCCCGAAGCGGCAGCGCCGGCCUAGCGUCCGCUUAGGAGAGAUCGGCGACCAACCGGCGGCGACCCUCUCAUACGACUCUCACGCCCCCCGUCGACCCAAGCCAUGGAGGCUUUACAAACACCCUGCUCUUCUUGUACCUUCUAAUAAAUUCUCAAAAACUACUACUCGCCCUUUAACAAAUCUCGUCGUCAACAGCCACCAAAUCCUGGACGCUGCUGACGUCAAUCUCGAUUUCGGACACCACAAGCCAAAAUCGAAGAGAGCUACUGCGAUCACUACGGCGAAGAGAGUGAGGACGAAUUGGACGACGGCGGCGAUGAGUAAUGAUAAUAACAACGGAAGUAGAAUCGAAGGCGAAAGUAAUACAAAAGAUAAGGAAGAGUUAAUAAGGGAGUUCGAGCCGGAAAUCGAGGAGGGUUCGGGGAAAGAACAGAGUCCUGUGCAGUCGGUUGACAAUGUGGGGUUGAAUUACUGGGGGAGGAAUGGUGGUAGGGUUAGGGUUUCAGACAAUGGGGGGGUGCCGGAGACGAGUGGGGAUAGGAAUUUCGGGAGUGGUGGGAGUGAGAGGGGGCGGAACCGGGAUCGAUGCAACGGGUUUCUUGAUGAUGGGGUGAGGAAUUGGCUGGUUGGGUUGGGGUUGGGGCGGUACGCGGCGGUGUUCGAGAUACAUGAGGUGGAUGAUCAAGUGUUGCCUUUGUUGACUUUGGAGGAUCUCAAGGAUAUGGGGAUUAAUGCUAUUGGUUCCAGAAGGAAACUGUGUUCGGCUAUUCAGAAGCUUCCCAAGGGCUUUUCCUGAUACGGCAAAUGCAAGUUUGGGCUGUUUCAAGUACCUUUUCUUCUCUUCAAUAGUGGUUUCAAAUCUGUUCUCAAAUCGAGAUCCACAUAUCCAAAACAAACCUUGUUACCCUCUCUGUCUUUUCCUUCAACACGUUCAAAGGUGUUACUGUCCUCUGAAAGGGCCUCUGUAGCCCUCAAAUGAUGAUCUGUUAGCUUUCAUGAAGUAUAAGGUCAAGUGGUCAACCACGUUAAACCAUAGUUAAGGAAGUCUGGGAAAAGGAAGGUUAGGGUAUUUCCUUUCUAAUGAGAACCAAUUUGGAUUCUCUAAUAUAUAGGGAAAUACAGGGAUGAUCGUGGAGCCAAAGGCCCUGUUGCGCUCCCCGCUCGUUCACAAAAGGUGAUGACCCUUUAUUUUUGCUUGCACUUGUUGGCGGACUGUACUGAAAAGUAGCUGGUGUGAUAUUUGGUGAUUGUGUGUAGCAAGGUUAUGUGGAGCACCCCAUAUUUGUCCUAGAUUGAAGUGUUUCAUGGAUCAAGAUGUAAAAAAUCAUAUGCUCUUUUUGUUGAAUCUCAUGGUGAAGGCAGUGAUGAAUUCUCGAAACAUGCUUAUGUACUCCAGAUUGACUGCAAAGAGUAACAAAGUUCCAAUAUUAUGCUAAGACUGGUUCAUGUGAAAGUCUGGUCGAUUAUAGUUACAUCAGGAUUGGGGCAAUUACCAAAGUGUCUCAUGGAACUUGCAUUUAAGGUAGGGGUUCCCUCUGGUGGGAGAGGAAUUACUGUUGAUAACUUUGGUCAUAGAGAAACAUGUGAACAGAUGACUAUUAGCCUUCUGCUGUAUGAAAGGGCAGUGUGUUUAUUGGAUUGGUUUGAAGGUCAUAUCAGGGUGCUACUCUGUUUGGUAUUAGGAGUGGAUUUCAAAGCUUAGCGGAUUGCCUUGCCUAGUGUUUGAAGCUCUGCAAGAAUGCAAAUGUUCUUAUUCUCGUUUGUAGUAUUUGUGGUUACUGGCUAGCUAUACUUCACUAUGCCUAGCCUUUGUUCUCACCUACAUAUGCCUGAGAGAUUUGCAGGUUGUUUCCUGUAGGGGGGUAAGCUGAUGCAGCCCUAAUUGGCUAUGUUUAGGUCAUGUAAGAUGGUAAAGUUCUUGCAAGUGAAUAAAACCCUGGUUUGGUGAGCUGAUGACAAUCCCAAAUUUGGAAGCUUACAGUUUGUGUUACUAAUGAGUGUUUGCAUAUUUCAAAUGCACAAAACAACGGUUUAGGUUAAAUUCUUGAAAGUUUGAGAGAUCGUACUAACUUGGUUUCCAUUUGCUUUAAAAGUAACUUUUACGAUUUAAUCGCAUUAUGUGAGCAUAAUCUAGGUGUCCGCAUAUGCAUGUAAACACAUGUUGGUGUUCGCAGUUAGUGUUGUUGCCUUUUCAAUUUGGAUCAGGAUGAUAGAUCAUAGUAUUCAGUAUGGUUAGGAUAUACAUGUACCCACGAUUGAAAGUUGGUUGAUGAUACAUUUUUCCUAUAUAUCAUGUACCAUAUCUGGUAUCUGAAAGCAAAGAGAUGUUCAUAUGACUUGCCUUACAUCUUAUUCUAUUAUAGGAGACUAAUCCAAUGACGUAUCAAUUAGAUCUAUGGCCCCGUUUGAUAAACAUAUUAGGCUUUGAGAUUGGGAUUGGGAUUGGGAUUGGACUACCAAUCCCAUGGGUUUCACAAUAACUUGUUUGGUAACCAAAAAGAGGUGUGGACUAUGAGUCCAAUGGGUUUGGGAGCCGGCCCUUAGGGGGUAUUGAGAAUGGCCUCUCCCACUUGGUAUUGAUAAUCCAGUCCACUCCUUGCCAAUGCACAAAUACGAAAAUAGCCUUGCUUAAACCCUGUAAUGACCAAAUUACCUGUAGGUUAUAAGCACUUACAAACCCUAGCCCCCAUCAUUUUCUGUCAUGAUUAGGAAACAACAGCUGCUAACAGAUGACACCAUCUUCUUUGGUGGCUGGAAAUUCGAAAUAUCUACCUCCGGCGAGUAACAACAGCUCCUUUACGGUGAUAUUUUUGACCUUCUCUUUGUUUUUUAGUUUAUUAACAAGGGCUAAAAAUUUGUGAUGGUAAAUUCCAGAUCUGGUGAAAGGCCAGAUCCUAAUAUGUGAAGGCAUUUUGCUGGUAUGUGAAUGCAUUUUAAUUAAUGUUAUGCAUGUAUGGAUGAAUGCUGUUGGUAUGCUUACCAAGUGUUUGUCAAAAAUCUUCAGUGAAGAAAGAAAAAGAUCACAGAUUUUAGUUCUUGUUUUGAGUAACAUUAAACACGAAAAAAAUUGCUGAAACUCUUCCCUUUGUUAUUUUUCUGAAGAAUGUCUGAAUGUUGAUUUCUACAUUUUAAGUUGUUAAAAUUUGGACUUGUACUUUAUACCUUUGGAGAAUGCAUGCUGUGAAUGUUUUUUUUUAGAUCGGCAAAUUUUUUUUUAUUAAAAACCUUGAUAGGGUACAUUAAGAAAAAGAAAAGAGAACCUAAUCCAUAAUAUUGAUACAUGGGCUAGGAAAAGAAAAACAAGAACUUCCAACAAAGAGUUGGAAGAGGGAAAAGCAGACAAGAAACAAAGAGGCCAACAGGGGGUCCAAAAAAACACUACAGCUACAUGGACUCGUGUUUAGGUUUGAUAAGAGUAAGCAUCAGUGACACCAAGACUGAAUU